GACGAACGCUGGCGGCGUGCUUAACACAUGCAAGUCGAACGGUAAGGCUCCAGCUUGCUGGGGUACACGAGUGGCGAACGGGUGAGUAACACGUGGGUGACCUGCCCUGCACUUCGGGAUAAGCCUGGGAAACUGGGUCUAAUACCGGAUAGGACCGCACCGUGAGGGUGUGGUGGAAAGUUUUUUCGGUGUGGGAUGGGCCCGCGGCCUAUCAGCUUGUUGGUGGGGUAAUGGCCUACCAAGGCGGCGACGGGUAGCCGGCCUGAGAGGGUGGACGGCCACAUUGGGACUGAGACACGGCCCAGACUCCUACGGGAGGCAGCAGUGGGGAAUAUUGCACAAUGGGCGGAAGCCUGAUGCAGCGACGCCGCGUGGGGGAUGACGGCCUUCGGGUUGUAAACUCCUUUCACCAUCGACGAAGGGUUUCUGACGGUAGAUGGAGAAGAAGCACCGGCUAACUACGUGCCAGCAGCCGCGGUAAUACGUAGGGUGCGAGCGUUGUCCGGAAUUACUGGGCGUAAAGAGCUCGUAGGUGGUUUGUCGCGUCGUCUGUGAAAUUCCGGGGCUUAACUCCGGGCGUGCAGGCGAUACGGGCAUAACUUGAGUACUGUAGGGGAGACUGGAAUUCCUGGUGUAGCGGUGAAAUGCGCAGAUAUCAGGAGGAACACCGGUGGCGAAGGCGGGUCUCUGGGCAGUAACUGACGCUGAGGAGCGAAAGCAUGGGGAGCGAACAGGAUUAGAUACCCUGGUAGUCCAUGCCGUAAACGGUGGGCGCUAGGUGUCGGGGGUCAAACCUCGGUGCCGUCGUUAACACACUAAGCACUCCGCCUGGGGAGUACGUGCGCAAGCAUGAAACUCAAAGGAAUUGACGGGGACCCGCACAAGUAGCGGAGCAUGUGGUUUAAUUCGAAGCAACGCGAAGAACCUUACCAGGACUUGAAAUACUAGCGCCCACUUUAGAGAUAAAGUUUUUUCUUCGGAAACGCUAAUACAGGUGGUGCAUGGUUGUCGUCAGCUCGUGUCGUGAGAUGUUGGGUUAAGUCCCGCAACGAGCGCAACCCUUACUUCUAGUUGCCAGCACGUAAUGGUGGGAACUCUAGAGGGACUGCCGAUGAUAAAUCGGAGGAAGGUGGGGAUGACGUCAAAUCAUCAUGCCCUUUAUGUCCUGGGCUACACACGUGCUACAAUGGUCGGUACAGAGGGCAGCGAAAGAGCGAUCUCAAGCGAAUCUCAAAAAACCGAUCCCAGUUCGGAUUGCAGGCUGCAACUCGCCUGCAUGAAGUCGGAGUUGCUAGUAAUCGCAGAUCAGAAUGCUGCGGUGAAUGCGUUCCCGGGUCU
rnacentral:rRNA from 1 species